GUGUGUGUGUGUGUGUGUGUGUGUGCGUGUGUAUGUAAUGGGGAGGGGUGGGGAGAAGAAGACUGAUGCAGCUGCUCGGGCGAUAGGUAAUUCUCUUCUCGCCUGUAGCUUCUCUCUCUUGCUCGUUCCUUUUUUCCUCGGGGUGGGUGGCUCCGAUUUUGUAAUUAAUUAGAUGCAGGAAUGACUUAUGAGUUAAAAGAAAAAAAGAAAGCAGCUCUCCGUAGCUCCUUCUAGAUGCCGACUUUGGUCUUUCCAGCAGCCUAAACUUGCCUAUCUGGCAGCUGCAGUGCACGCAUCGCAACUCGCCCACUGCCGGCCUGAUGGAACAAACCAGACACAACACUCGCUCAUGUGGCUGAGCUUUACCUUUCCUUCGGCUCUCUCUCUUGUACAGUUGGCAGGUCAGAUCUCAGUCCCUUCUAAAAGUUGUGUGUGUGGGAGAGAGAGAUGCGAUGGGAAGAAGUUGGUUGCCUCCCUCUUUCUUGAGUUGUCCCCGCCCCCCAUAGCCCUUUUCCUUUUGCUUCUCUGCAAAUAUGAAGAGAGUUUGUUUUAAAGCUUGGACUAUAACUUUCCGGGCACGACGACUGAGGAACUUGGAGAAAGCUGGUUUUAACGCAAAGGAUGUUCGGCAGAAAGGGCGUGGCAAAUCAUGGCUCCGCCCCUUCCCUAGAAGAAUGUAGGGUGUUUUUUUUAAUAAAAAAAAAUGCGAACACACAUCUACUUAAUCUGCAGUUUUGUGCCGCUUGUGGAGGAUUUAAGCCACUGCACACGGUGCAAUUCAAUAGCCGAGAGUCUAGUUCGCUUUGAUGUCUUUUAAGAAGGCAUUUCAGCCCUCCAGAAGCUUGACGAGUAAGCGGAUACUCGGCCCUAGGAGCUCGGCCUGCUUUUCUACUAGCUGCCUCCCGUGUUUCUGUUGCAAAGUGAGACAUCUCAUAUAAAUUUGCCUGCAUGGUUUUUCUUACACCUUUAUAAGGAAGCAACAAUCCUGCCAGUUUCCACAGAUUCAGCGUCUUGAAUUCUGCAAAUUUCCAAGCCUCACAAAUUAUGCGAAGUGAUGCCUAUGUGUCUUUGAAAAUCAAGGGGGAGAAAUCGAAAAGAGCCCUCAAAUUAUUAAUAUUUUUUUAGAGACAAUGGCUUCAAAGCCAGUCUUACAGACAUCUGAUGAAGUGGGUUCUGGUCCAUGAAAGCGUAUGCCUCAAUAACAUUUGUUAGGCUUCCCAGUGCCACAAGACUCUUUGCUGCUUUUUCUGACACACACUUACACAGUCACCCCUCUAGAAUUUCAUAUGUGCACUGCCUGAGGUGGCGGUGGGGCGGGAGGAUAUGGGAUGGUUUCCAUUCAAAUGUGGGUAUAGGGAAUGGUUUUGAAAAUACAUCUGACAGAUUUAGGUCUGCCUGAUGAGAAGUGAGAUGGCAUCGUUUCCCCCACAGGUGGAAUAGCAGCUGUGGCACAGGUUGAGUGGGAAAAUAAUCUGAGAAGAAUGGGUUAAACAGCCCCCACCCAUCAAGCUUCUAAAUACCAGUUGCAGGGGAGCAACAGCAAGAGAGAGGGCAUGCCCUCACCUCUUGCCUGUGGGCUUCCCAGGGGCAUCUGGUGGGCCAGUGUGUGAAACAGGAUGCUGGACUGGAUGGGCCUUGGGUCUGAUCCAGCAGGGCUGUUCUUAUGUUCAAAGCCCUAGCCUCAUGAGGUUGCUCAGGAGGCUAUGGGGUGGCUUUACCCUUUUGGAAACUUGGUGCAGAAUUAGAAGUUGCGCUGUCUGCUUUAGGCGUCUGAGACCUCAGUGUGCUUUUGCAUAUAUAAACCAAUUGUUAUUACAAAAACAUUGUUAAUCUCAUCCAAGGUGAGUGUAAGCCUGUAGCAACCCUAUAGCACUAUGCCAGGUCUUCUUACUGCUCAGUGAAUCGGGAAACACAUGCCUGGAUGCCACUGAAUCUCCUCCUUCCCCAGUCUAGGGAUUGUUAAUGUGCACAAAGGUUCUAGGCUAACCAGCGCUCUGUGUAAAAGCCACUACCCCACAUUUUCUUGCCUAAGUCACUCAUCUCAUUUUCAGAUCCCCCCUGUUUUUAUUCUCCAGUGGAGACUUAGAGGAGCAGGGGCUUCCUUGGUGGAAGACAAAUAAGGGCAUCAACCCAAGCCCCACACUAGUGACAGCAGUGUCCCCAGCCUGUCCCCAAUGAGAGUGCACUCCAGUGCCCGCUGAGUCAGGGGGUGGCUCUGCUACAGUGGGUGGCAGCCAUGUUCUGGCCAGCAGUAGUGGAAGGCAAAGAGAUUCCAGGCAGGAAUCUGCAUGCCACUGGGCCCCACAUCUCUGUGCCACUGCCACUUCUCACCAGAGCCCCUCACCCCCUCCCACUGGCCGGAGUCCUACACCCCCUAAAGAUGGCCCUGUAGAGGAAUGCUGCUGCUGAACAUAGAGGUUCUGCACAGCUAUUGUGCCUAAGAGCUAGUGAUGGAGCAAUCCUCUAUGAAUUUAUUGAAGACAGCUUAGUCAGUGGCCAUAACUAGACUCUGUGACAAUGAAUUCCAUAAAUCAAUGGUACAUUAAGUAUUUCCUUUUGUUUGUCCAGAACCACACUGCCAACUAAUUUCAUGGGAUAGUCUUGAGUUCUAGUGUUUUGAAAGAGAAAGAGAGAGAAUGCAAUCUCUUUCUGACAUACACCACUCAUGUUAUAAGCCUCUGUCACCUUCUUAAACUUUUCUUCACAAGAUGUCCCGACUCCCUGCUUGAUCAUUUUAAUUGCCCUUUUUAUAUCUUCUUCAGCUCUACAAUAUCCAUUAAAGAUGGAACAAUCAGACCUGCAUCCAGUAUUCUAAAUACAGGUGCAGGAUAGAUUUAUAGAAUGGUAUUAUAUUUUCUAUUUUAUUUUCAGUCCUGUUUCUAGUAAUUCCUAACAUUGAAUUUGCCUUUUUCUCUGCCACGGCACACUGAGCUGACAUUUCCAGUGAAUUUUCUAUUAUAAUCCCAAGAUCUCUUUCUUGAGUAAUUACAUCUAAUUUAAACCGGCAGCAUAUUUUUGAAGUCGGGCAUUUUUCUGUCCCAAUAUUCAUCACAUCGUGAAUUUCAUCUCCCAUUCUGUUACCCACUCACCAAGUUGGGAGACAGCUGUUUGGAACUUUCCAUAAGUGGUUUAAGACUUCACUAUUCUGGAUAAUUUGGUGUUCUUUCCAAUUGGUUGCCUCCUUAUUAAAUCUGACUUUAGAGAAAUGAUGCAUGAGUAACCACUAACCAGCCCCAAUUCAGCUUUUUUGGAGAUCCCAUUGUUUACUUUCCACUACUGUGAAAUCUAUGAAUAAAUGAGCUCUUUCUCAUUAGCAGAGAAAGGGCUCCAAUGGGGCAAAGGGAGGAAGCCACGAAAGCUUACGUCCCCCCGCAGAUGAGCAGGUCCUUGCCUCUGGAUUGCCCACCCAGAUGAUUACUGGCUGCUGCUGGCUGCUCCAGGGGUUGGGGUGUCAGGACCCGUUGCCCCCUCCGGAGUGCCAGUAAUGCACUGCGCAAGUGCCCAGUGCAUUAUGGGGAUCUCACCUCCCUCCCCAAGUCUUCUAGCCACGGCUGCUUGCAGCUGCGGCAGACAGACAAUCAGUAAAAUGAGGUUAAGGGAGUGCUCACUCCCUUAGCCUGCUAACUGAGCAAAGAGGCAUCUUUUUAAAGUGGCGAGUCUCUUUGUUUAGCAGGAGGAGAGCAACUGGCCCUAUCUAGCCCCAGCACAGCAUCCCUCCAGUGGCUGUUGCCGGGGUCAAUCUUAAGUUUCAUUUUAGAUUGUGAGCCCUUUGGGGACAGGGGACCAUCUUAUUUAUGUAUUGUUUUUCUAUGUAAACCGUUUUGAGAACUUUGGUUGAAGAGCAGUAUAUGAAUAUUCGUAGUAGUAGCAGUAGUAUAACCAUGUGACGGGCCAGGGACAUUGCUAGAGACUUAAAAGAUCUGGGCCCCAGGCCCACAAACCCCCUUUGGAUUUUUAAAAUUAAUCAUCCCACCCCUCAAGAAUAAAUGCAUAUGUUUUUCAAAGUCUCUAAUAUUAUAAUACAGCACUUAUGAAGGUGGCAGAAGCAGUGAGCUAGAUGAGACUAGAAGCUGUCUCCCAGGCUCUGUGCAGGUGCCUGUACUACUUCUCUGGAGGUGGCUGAUGCAUUAUGGGGAGUCUCCUGAUGCCAGUCAGGCAGCUACUCAUGUGUCAGAGCUGCACGGAACCAUGCAGCACAGACACAUGAUAUGUUAGCUCAGAUUCAGGGUGCGCUUGUGCCCUAAACCCUGGCUAACAGCCGGGGGCACCCAACAAGGUUUGCUGCUGCACGGCCGCUGGGAGCCCCAUGGCUCCUGGUGGUUCACACACGGCAGCAAAACCAGACUGGGCUUUCCUAGCACGGUUUUGCCUAUGUGUGUGAAUAGCCCCUUCUUAUCUUUAUUAUCUCCUUGCUGACCAGAAGCCACCUAAUGGUGCAGUGUGGGAAAGACUUGCCAAGCGAGCAAGAGGCUGCUGGUUCAAAUCCUCACUGGUAUGUUUCCCAGAAUAUGGGAAACUCCUAUAUCAGGCAGCGGCAAUAUAGGAAGGUGCUGAAAUGCCGCUUCUCGCCUCCGUGCCCGAGCGGGUGAGGCGGGAGGCGGGGUUGUGCACCCGGCACCAGGAAGCAGACACGGAAGCGCCAUCUUGGCCCCCUCCACGUGACCAGGGAUAGCCCAGUCAGGAGAGGGGGCUGGGGGAAACAGUGUAGCCUGGCAGCCAUCUCACGAGCAGUCUCUCUGGCUGUGCCAGUGGUAGCCAUCGUUACCUAUGGGCGCUGGGUGGCAGGUAGGCAUUGAGAAUUGAUCGGUCACUUGGCAGGAGAGUGCGGGUGUUGGGUAGGUAGAUUCAGGGAUCGGUGUUUGGCUGGAGGGCCAGUUGGGUGAGGGGGGGUCAGGGAACAGCCUUUCAGGGCUUUGACGGCCCGUAAGGUUGGGAAUGACCCCCACUCGGGGGGUGGGUGCGACUCACCGGCUCAGAGCUUUGACGGCUUGGGUUGGGGGGGGUGUCGGACCACCACCACCCUCGGCAGGGUGGAGCCCCACGAUGAGAGGAGGCCAGGACUUAGAGCCUGACCAAAUCAGGACCCGGCCCUUCGCCCUGGCAUGGGGUGCUCUUCACUAGGAAGGGCCACCACGCGAGAAUAGUACCCGCACUCUAGUGUAUUGGGACCUCAUUGCAAGUGUCACUACCUCUGUACAAUAAUAAAAGUGGCCCUUAUUUACUCCAA